rfam:Thiobacillus sp. SCN 63-374 ABS92_C0276, whole genome shotgun sequence.
AGGCGCGUAGCUCAGCUGGUUAGAGCACCACCUUGACAUGGUGGGGGUCGUUGGUUCGAGUCCAAUCGCGCC